CCCGAACCGGCGGGCUACGUGCGGGGGUCUCAGAGGCUGCGGCUCCUCCCGUCGGUGGGCGCGGCCGCCCCCAGAGGCCGCUGCGGGAAGCAGGGCGGCGGCAGGAAGCGCCCCCCCCGUUCCCCCUUCCCCCCCGUACCCCUCUUCCCCCGCUCGUCCCCCCUUCCCCACCCCAGGCCCCGCGGAGGCGGCGCGCGUUUCACGGGUUUCGCCGCCCGCGGCACGGUGGGGGCGGGGGCGGGGGCGGGGGCGGCGGUGCGACCCCCAGCGGUGGAAGCGGGAACUGCAGCUCGGCCGAGCUCGGGGUUGGGGGGUCCCUGCCAACCCUGCCCUCCCGGAAGGUCCCAGCCUGGCGGGUUCGGGUGCUUUUCUCUCUGGGGCGCGGCCUCCCUGUUCUGCUCAGUUGGGGGUCCGUUCCCGGGAAGAACCACCACACCCCCCAUCCCGGCCCGCAGGCCCCAGCCGCCAAGUCGUUGCUGGGGAGGUGGGCGCAGGCCGCCCUCUCUCCGUGAGCCCACUCGCCACAACCCGCAGGGACCUGGGGGACUCGGUGGAUCCAACCACAGGAGACCAUGAGACACAGGCGGUCUCGCCGAGGCCUGCCGCUUAGAGCUGUCUCUCCUCCUCACGGGCCCCCUGGCUCCCUGCAGGCCUGGCCUCCUAUCUCCCUCAGGCCAUCAGCCCAGGGACCCCCAGCCCAGGCACCCCACCCAUGCUCUGAGCUGUGGGCCUGAAACCCGCCCUCCUAGCAGGGAGCCUGGCUGCGCCCCAGGCCGCUUCUGCUUGGAGCUCCGUGGAAGGAAAUGCCCUCAGGUUCCCAGGCACUGAGCCUCCCCUCCCGCUAACCCCAUCAGGGGUAUAGCAGCCCCGUGGUGCUCAGCCUGCCUCUCUCUGCCUGGGCAGGACCGUGGAGCCCAUGCGUGUCCUCUCUCCUGUCCCCAGAUGGAAGCCGGCAGGAAGGCGGCGCCACAGACUGAGGAGGCCCUGCUGGCCCUGGAGCUGUGUUCGGAGCCCCCACAGCCUGGCUCCUGGCUCUGGUUGCCGUGGGCGGGAGGUGGAAGUACAAGGAGAAGGAGUGUCCAGCAUUUUCACGAGUGCCACCGCCAGAGGUCAAGCUGAGGACAAGAGGGCAGCCAGGCACCACCCUGGCCCCAGGCAGACUCCCCAGGGCUCGCUGAAGGGCCGGCAGCCCUGGGCCUGGCAGCUCCCCUUGCAAGCCCCAGCUGGGGGCUCUGUCAUCCGGGAGGCCCUGGGCCUGACCUUCGCCGGCUGCCCCUGGGCCUGGAGGCAGGACACGAAGGGGCUGAUGGGUCUGUGGUCAGCCCCGAGCGCACUUUGCUGAGCUGUGGUCUUGCUGAGCCAGCCCACAGGCCCAGCGACUCCUGGCUUACUCAGCCCAGGCCUGAGGCUCCCAGGGAAGGCCAGGCCAGGCUGUGCAGGAACCUGCCUAUGGGGCUGGGCACCUGGCCCUCCAGGAAGGCCUGCCUGCGAGGAGCUGCUCUGCACAGGGGUCUCGACCCUCCGCUAGGCACCAGGAGCGAAGAGGGAGAGGCUUUGGGAAGGAGACACAGGUCAGAGAGCUUACAGAAAAGUCAGCCUCGAUGGACGGCAAGAUGCACCUGUCAGCCACGAAGGAGCCCCCCGAGGUGCAGAUCCCCACAUCCGCCGCACCCGUGUGGAGAAAACAGCGCUGGAUUUCCUGUCGUGGGUUUUGUGACUUUGAAAGCCGAGGCUGCUGAUUGGGAAUUAAAUCCCAGAGGACGCCGCUCAACACACUGGAAACCCAGCAGCUGCUGCUGUUCCCAGCAAUUUUUCUUUCUCUAAAUUGAAACAUCAUUUUCUAUUUUUCUUCUGA